rnacentral:piRNA from 1 species
UUUAACCGAUAUCAGAAAAAU